rnacentral:rRNA from 1 species
GACGAACGCUGGCGGCGUGCCUAACACAUGCAAGUCGAACGGGACCAGGGGCAACUCUGGUUCAGUGGCGGACGGGUGCGUAACACGUGAGGAACAUGACCUUCGGCGGGGGAGUAGCCGGCCCAACGGCCGGGUAAGUACCGCGUACGACCACUUUGGACAUCCCUUGGUGGUGAAAGCAGCAAUGCGCCGAUGGAGUGCCUCGCGGCCUAUCAGCUAGUUGGUGAGGUAACGGCNCACCAAGGCGACGACGGGUAGCUGGUCUGAGAGGAUGGCCAGCCACAUUGGGACUGAGACACGGCCCAGACUCCUACGGGAGGCAGCAGUGGGGAAUAUUGUGCAAUGGACGAAAGUCUGACGCAGCGACGCCGCGUGUGGGAUGACGGUCUU